ACAAAAAAGAAAAAAAAAAAGAAAAGGAUCUUUUGUUAGGCUGCCAUGAGUUACUGUCUUGCUAUUCAGAAAAGCUGUUUUCAAAAAUCUGCUACAUUCUUGUGCACAGCUUCAAGAUCCAGGUUUUUCACUGCUAAAUUAGACACACCAGACAGAAUUACUUUGGAUUAUCAACAGCAAUUCAGUUAAGCAAGAAAAUUAAAUUUCCUCAAUUAAGUCUUGACAGAAAUAGGCUUUCUUUCAUGCAGCAUGCUAGGAUUCUGCUGCAGUUCUCCUUCAAACAACCCCCAAAGCGAGAACUUCCAGAAGAUGUUUGCGUUUUUCCUUCCCCGUUGCGGCCGCUGCCGGUGGCUCGCGGCGGAGGGAGGUCGGCCCCGUGCAGGGCCGGGCCCACACGUGCUCGAGGUGCCUCGACACACACCCACCCGUCUAAAGGCAGGUUGAGCUCGCUGAGCUCAGCUCCCCGUUUCCAUUUAACCAAUUUCACUGUUUUAUAUAGUUCGAUGUGCUGAUGUACAUUUUAAUCUACAAAUAUUUCGAGUCCCACUGACGCAGCUGUCAGGAGGAACUCCCAGCAGGCAGCGUAAGCCUGGAGCUCAGCCUGUAAGGAGCGGAGAGCUACAUAAAAAAGGGUACUUUAAAUAACUUCGUUUUUAACCUAACACAAGGAAGUGCUCUUCUGUUCCAGCACAGCCAGGCUUUUGUGCCUCUAAAGCUCUACGGCCAGAGCUCACACGGUCACAGCCUCCUCGUUCCCCACAGCCCAAGUGUUUUGGCACUGCUCUGCCCCGUGGCCUCGAGGCCACUUUACUGCCGUCAUUCACACACAGCCGAGUGCCACAGGUAGGCCAGCACAGCGGUGGGGGCUGAGAAAAUUAAACUGGUACAUUUCCUUAUUUCUUGCGGGGAUGAAGGUUCCCGGUAGUGAGUCUGUAUCUGGAAAACUAGAAUGAUCUCAACCCAAUUCUUUAAGGAUUUUAAAUCAACAUAUAGUCAAUGGGAUUGAUUUGCCUUAUUCUGAGUGCUAAAUGCAGCUGUCACUGUGUCCUUCAUCCUCAGUCCGUUAUUGAUAAAUUCCUGGCCCUACUGACUUAAUAUAUGCCUAUUGACUUAUUUGUUAUUUUCCAUUCUUAAUAGCAGCCACUGCGGAGACUUCUGCUAACAGUUAUUUUCAGAAGAAAAAAAAAAAAAAAACACAAACCACCCUUCUUCCUCAAAUGAAACUUGCAGAGUUUAAAGAGCUUCAAUUUUCCAGCAGUAGCUAGAGAAGAUGGGCUGUGAAUUUUUCUUUCCCCGUGCACGGCGGCAGCGUGCCUUGUCCAUGCACACUGCAUGCAGGCUGACUUUCACGGUGUGUCUGCAGCCUGCACGCUCGGUUCUCAUAUUUCUGUAAGGUUCGAGUCCCAAAGGAAGCAUUAAUGCUAAAGGAAUGCAUACCAGCGUGUAACUAGUCUAAAAGUCAGUACAAAAUCUCUCCAACAGAUUGCUCAGAGAAACACCUCUUUUUUACUGCAUUUAAGAUCUGCAGAUUGAUCUCAUGAGCAUUUGUGCAACAGUUUAGUCUCAAACUGAUAAGAGUGCUGCACAAAGAGAGAAAGGGAAUCAAAGGAGAUUAAAAAGCGCUGGUCUUCAGGAAGAUAAGCGACCUCGAGCCGCCACGUGACCCCGCCAGCGCUCCAGCUCGGCCGCCUGCGGAUCUCAUCAGGGAACCAGAUGUGACCAGUGGCAGAAUAUCCUGCGCAGCGUGAGAUCUGGAGUCUGUGAUUGCCAUCCAGGAAAGGGGAGAUGGGAAAGUCUGCUCCUAGCAUCAGUGCUAUAUAAUUUCACAGCCAGAGAAAGCGGGAUACAUUUUGCUGUGAACUUCUGCAGGAGCAGGACAGCACCGUAACACUGCAGGACAGGACAACAACAUGGCAGGACUUUUGGGUCCUGCUCGUGAGUCGGGACUCAAACCGCAUUCAGUGUUGUGCAUAAAAAAUUCAGAACAAAGGAAGAUUCCUGCCCAUAAAAAGCCUGCAGGCAGCAGCUCAGAGACACUGCAGUGGGAGAUCGUUUGCCCAGGGUCGCACAGCAAGUCAGUGGCAAGAAGAAAUGAGGCCCCAGAAGGUCAGCUUUCCAUUCUAAAGCAGGAAGGAGGAAAAGAUUCUGCACAAAGUCACAAAUUCCAGCCCAAAUCUAAAGCACGUUCUCUUCAAGGGAAGAGAAGAGAGCAGGCAUGUUGUAUCUAACACCGCUGUGUAGGGCCAUGCCAACACUGCAAGUCCUCGGGGUGCCCCUGCACAGGCCCUGACUGCUGCUCUGCUGGAGCAGCCUCUAGGAAACAGCAAGUCAGAUAAAGACGAGUUGCAGUGAAUGGAAAAUGGAAAACAGAUGCCAUACCAUCACGUUAUUUCCUCAAUGCAAGCUAAAAACAACUGACAGUUUCCCAUCAUACUGACUACUCAGGGCCCCAGUCAAACGGCUGGCAAAGUUUCUUUACUCCAAAACACUGGGGAUAAUGAAUUCAGAAGUUCUGAACAGCUGCUUUUCAUGGAUCAUUUAGAAUUUGCGAUGCAAAUAUGAAAAAUCCAUCUUAAAUGCCCUCAACUAAUUGAGUGGAGUACAGUGAAUACAAAGGAACAGAUCACUGACCUUGGUGAAAACAGCACAAAAGCCUUAAUCUGCCCAGAGAGACCCAGAAGGUUACCGAGGAGCAGAAGAGAGCAGAAGCCCGUGUACUCUCACUCGGGUUCCUAAUUCUGCUGGCCACGAGGCAGCUACAAGCCUUUCCUGUGGGGCACACGCAGCAGCCCCCAGCGCCCUCCCUUACAAACCACAGCAGUGGAGAAGGAGGUGGGUGGAAGCUGGGCUCCGGCCAGAUCGCUGGUGUUGGAGCUGACAAUUCAAAGCAGAACUUGACGCUGGGGGCGAAGAGAGAACGGUUACACAUACCUCUUAGGAAAGGUUUUAGGGAUGGAAAUACUGAUCUAAACUAAAUCCCAGGAGCCUGACAAUUCUUCUGCAGAACUUCCCUGAGACCCUGGGACGCUGCCAGCUUUAUGUGAUGGAAAGGAAGACUGCCAGGUCACAGGGCAUGCCACAGAUGGGAUCUGACUUCUAAGCAGUUGUUUAAUUUAGGCCUGGAACACGAUUUAUGGGAGUCUAUCUGAAAUCACGGAGAAAAGAAGGCACAGAGCUGGAGGGUAGAAGCAGGUACGUGUGAAUUCACAUGAGACAAACUGUCUGUGGGGCGAAUAUUCCUGCGAGGCUCCGAGUUUCCAUCUCUGUUUUAAGGAGGGGGAAGCUGACUCUUCAAGUGAAAAAAUGCCUCUAACAGUGAAUAGCAGCAGGGGCAAGAAUGCGACCACACCGGCCCUGCCGCCCAGCUUUAUGGGUUCCUGCUCCCUGCACUCCCCUGCAGGAAGGACGUGUGGGAAGGCAGGAGUUUGGUGUCACUUCCCUGCUGCCCCGAGCCCAAUGCACACAGGACAGGACGAGUACCAGGGGUACGGCGCCUUCGUGCACCACCCCCGGGCUCUGUGCCCCCAGCCCAGCGCAAGGCGUGGGCAUUUCGGUCACGUUCCCGGGGGGUUCCCCAGCCAGCUCCACGGCAUUUUGUGUUGCUCCUACUGUGCAGCACCUGGCCCCGAACCCGGCUGGCCCUCCCGAGCACUUGUCGUUUUCUCUCUUCCCUCUCCUCCCCUCUUAAAAAGAGAAAGAAAACAAAACCAUUUCCCCACAGGCUGCAGACACAAGUGAGAUGCAGGUGCAGGCUGCACAAAGCUAAUGAGUUCAAAUCCCAGCGCCCCGCACACCCUCACGGAGGAGCUGCCCGGCCCUUUGAAGGGCAGGAAUGAAAGGAGCAGGGGCGCAGGGUGCACCUCGAGAUGUGGGGCUGCUCCCCCAGCCCGGCCCGCAGGCGGCCAUGGGACAGACAGACGGACAGACGGACAGACGGCUGGACUCGAUGCCUGCCCCUGACUGCCACCGUGCCUCCCAGCAGCACCCUUCCUGGUGCUGAGCACUGUGCCUGCUUCUCGUGGGCUCCUGGGUGCUUUCCAAACCAAGACCCACUCAGACCUCCCCGUGAAAGAGGUGCAAGGAGCGGCUGCAGGCAGAGAGCAGGACAGCCGGCGCCUCUCCUGGCUGGGUUCAAACCACCACGGAGCCCCACAGCUCACCCCAUCCCAUGGGGAAACCACCUCUACUGGGUCCUGGCAGCGAUGUGUCAUAACCACCACAACGCCUUGUAGGUCAGGGGGAGGAGAAACGUGUUCCUCAGCCUUAGCCAGUCUCUUCCUGAACAGUCCCUGGCUUUUCUGCUGGCAGUUCAGGUUCCUGUGGUUAUUUUGCCUCUUUGCUACACACGGGGACAGAGGGGAGCUGCCUCCUUCCCGGCUGAGCUGAAUCCUGCUUGGGCCACAGAAACUCAGCGCUGGGGUGGGGACACGCAGUCCAUGCAGCCACCGAGGGGCAGGUUCCCAGGGCUGGACACCUCUCCUUGGCUUUCUGGAGCAGCCGGGCGGGCAGGACCAGCAGCUUCCCCAGGGCUGCUGUGGCUGCUGGGCUGUCUGGUCAGCAGGGAACGCUGAGGGCACGAUGGGUGCGACCCAAACGCGGGGCAUGUGGAGUGCUGGGGUGCACAAAGCUCCCGGCCCCAAGGCUGAACCCACCCAUGCUGCAAAUGAGCACAACUCACAGCACGGCCCCAGCAGCCGGCACAGGACCCGGCUGCUGCUCCAGCCGGCGUGCCCGAGUUCCCCUGGUUGGUUUCAGACCUUCAGCAGGGCACUUCCACGGCUCCCGGUUCGCACCAGUGGGAACGGGAUGGUCCCAGCCCCUCCUCCCAGAAGCCUGGCUGGGGUUCCUCGCAUUUCUUCCUUGCGGAAAGCACUGAGAGUCAAUUUUUUCCCUGUUAAAUCAUCUGAUGUUUUUGGCUCCCCUUCCGAUAGGAAUUCUUUCUUUCUUUUGCAUUAAUUUUGCCCGGUUCCAGCACUGACCCAUGUUUAUGAAAGGGGCUUAUGAGCUGUAAUGUUAACUAGCCUCAGUUUGCUGAUUCAGCAGCAGAAUAAAUAGGUAAUUACACUCUGCCAUAUGUGUCUCUAAUUCCAAAUAGAUGGUGUCCAAAAGGCGCUGCGCAUUACCAGCGGAUGACUGGAGUUGGGACUGUAAAAAUGAGUAAAUUGGUCCCCAAGGCCAGAAAAAGCUCUGUCAAAUCCCACUGUUUAUAUCAUACUGAGUGGCUGACUUGUGGUUAUUUUGUAAUUUAAUACUGCUAAAUGUCAACGGGAAAUCCUUUCAACUACAGUUUGAUACCUAGUGACAGAAAAUCAUUCAAGACUUAGACAAAGCCGCUAGCUCGGAGAGGUGCGUUUUUGCCUUUUUUAAUCUUCGCGCACGGAGCGAGCGGGCGGCAGCUGCCCUGCCCCGGAGGCGAGGCGAGGCGAGGAGCUGCUGGCGGUGCUGGUGCUGCUGCCCCACGGCCCCAGCCC